rnacentral:rRNA from 1 species
AACGAACGCUGGCGGCAGGCUUAACACAUGCAAGUCGAACGCAUCCUUCGGGGUGAGUGGCAGACGGGUGAGUAACGCGUGGGAACGUGCCCUGCAGUUCGGAAUAACCCAGGGAAACUUGGGCUAAUACCGGAUACGUGCGAGAGCAGAAAGAUUUAUCGCUGAAGGAUCGGCCCGCGUCUGAGUAGCUAGUUGGUGGGGUAAUGGCCCACCAAGGCGACGAGCAGGAGCUGGUCUGAGAGGAUGAGCAGCCACAUUGGAACUGAGACACGGCCCAAACUCCUACGGGAGGCAGCAGUGGGGAAUAUUGGACAAUGGGCGCAAGCCUGAUCCAGCCAUGCCGCGUGAGUGAUGACGGCCUUAGGGUUGUAAAGCUCUUUCGUCCGGGACGAUAAUGACGGUACCGGAAGAAGAAGCCCCGGCUAACUUCGUGCCAGCCGCCGCCGUAA